UACGGGGGGGGCAAGCGUUUGUUCGGAAUUACUGGGCGUAAAGGCUCGUAGGUGGCCAACUAAGUCAGACGUGAAAUCCCUCGGCUUAACCGGGGAACUGCGUCUGAUACUGGAUGGCUUGAGUUCGGGAGAGGGAUGCGGAAUUCCAGGUGUAGCGGUGAAAUGCGUAGAUAUCUGGAGGAACACCGGUGGCGAAGGCGGCGAUCCUGGACCGACACUGACGCUGAGGAGCGAAAGCCAGGGGAGCAAACGGG
rnacentral:rRNA from 1 species